UUUUAUCAAACCUCAUCCUUCUCCCACUACUAUGCUUUGCAUCAACAAACAAAACAAUCCUCACCCUGCAUAUUUCAAAACCUCACUCUGAAAAUUAGAAUUUCAAACCACUAUCACAACCCUAAUUUCUAUCCUAUAUAAACCCGCCCUUUCACUCUAAAUUUGAGGCACAAUAAAGUUCCUCUACAAACUAUCCAUAAAUCUCUGCUAAAGAAAAACAACAACCUCAUAGCUCAAAUCCUUCUUCAUCAAAAAACCUUCACUUCUCAAUCUCCCUUCAACAACAAGCUCAUAAAAUUACUAUCAAAAGCCUUCACUCUCUUAAACUUUACCCUCAAAAAACAACUGCCAUACCCAUAUUUCUCUUUCAUUUUUCCAGAAAAAAACAGCCGCUAUAUUUGAGAUUCUUCCACUUUCCGUCUAACCAAAAACACAAGCUACUUCUACCGGAUAACCACUAAAACAAUGGCUUUAAAGUGAUGUUUUUAUCACUGUUAUCUAAUUUUCAGGACUGAGUGCUCUACUACUCGAGCAUUUAGUCAGAGCAGGAAUAAAGGGUCUGAUUGCUCAGUUGUGGAAGGAGCAUUUGGUUAACAUGGGCCUUUCAGGCUCACCAUGUGAGGUUUGGUCAAAAACCAUUAAGCAAAGGUUCACCUUGUCUUCCUUUGGUAUUGAUUCAACUAAAUUUCCAUAGUUCAAGAUCAAUAAAUUCUUCAUUGCAAGAGAGAGCUAUGCAGAUAAGAAAUCCUCUUUUGGAGUAUGACAAUGACUCUAACUCCACAGCUAAUUUUUCUGGAGCCAUACACAAAUAUCCGACUCAACAUAUUGGAUGAUUAAGAAUAUAUGCGGUUAUGCUUCUAUUAGAAAGGAGCAUAUCACUAACAUAUAAUACAAAGAUAUCCAUUGAGGUGUGUAAAUAAUAUAUGAAUUAAUAAAAAAAAGGAAAUUUUCAUGUAUAUUUGCUUUAAUUUUUUUUAAUAAGCAAUGGAAUUAACGGGAGUAAAAGUGAUGCUCCGCCCCGAAACAAAACGGAAAGCUCCUACCUCUCAAAAUACGAGAGCGGUAGGCUAUUCCAAGUAUAAAAAUUACAUAAAGACUCUUUCUUAUAGAAGGAGCAAAGCCACCACCAAAAAGAAUAAACUAUAUCUGACAUACACUCAAUUAAGCUCAAAGGUUCUUCUUUAAAAUUAACGGCAUUGUGCUUAAGCCAUAAGCUCCAAGUCGUAGCAAGCCAAAUCAUCACAGCUAUUGUCCUCUUAGUCAAACAAAUAAAACUAGAACAAUUGUUGAAAAUAUCCAUGAACUCCUCCAAAGACAAGACAUCACUAACACCAAGCCACAUUUACACCCUUCGCCAAAUCCGUAAAGAUACUUCGCAAGAACCGAACAAGUGCAAUAAAGAUUCUUCCUCUAUUAAGCACAAGACACACAUGGAAUCAUUUCCUUCUAUCAUAAUACCCCUUCUCACCAAAAGAUCUUUUGUUGCAAGUCUAUUGUGGAUAAAUCUCUAUCCAAAGAAGAGGAUU